rnacentral:lncRNA from 1 species
AAAACACUUUGAGAGAAAAGUUUUACAACACACAAAAUAUCCAUUGGCUAAAUACUUUUUGUGUGAGAUACUAUAGUGAUUGAGUCAAAGUCUUGAUAUUCUUUAAUACUUUGAAAAAGACAAUUUUCUGUAAAUUGAAAGGUUUGGAAAUCCAGUAAGGAAACUGGUAGUUAUCUUUGUUGAUGUGAGAUCAUCAAGAAAAGGCUUUACCUAGAUCUUGUGUGAGUUAGGCGAUUAACUACAAGGAUUAGGUGGUAUAGAAACAAGAGUGAAGUGAGUUAGAUAGAUAGGCUUCAAGGAAGCUGGACAAUCUGUAAAAGGUCCUCAAUUCAUUCUAUUGGAAAAAGGCUGAAAUCUUGUUGGAUUUCAGGACUGGAUGUAGGCUAUCAAAUUGAUAGCUGAACCAGUAUAAAUCGUGGUGCAAUUGUUUCUUAUCCCUACUCUUUUUGAUAUUACAUAAAUG